rnacentral:lncRNA from 1 species
CACGACGUGGUGAACUUUUAAAAACGGAUUCAGUAGUACCAAAAUACUCAUAAUGUGCAGACAGACAAAAGAACUGGAAGGAGUCGUGUUUUCAGACACAGGAAGCUUUUCACGUGCUCCACCUGGACCUCAUCUCUCAGCCUCACACUCCGAUCUUCAGCAGCCCCCGCUAUGCGCCCGAGUCUUGGGACGUCAUCCCGGAGCUCCUAGCCUGCCCGGGAGGCAGAGCCAUCAGAUUCUCCUCUUGGCCCCUUAUCCCAACUAAACACAUCACCACUGAGGACCUGUCCAGGGGUUUAGCUCCUGAUGAAGAGACAGAGAAAAGGUCAGAGAAAGGAAGGGUGACGCUCCAUCCAAGAUGACUACAGCGCUAUGAUUUCCAGAUGGGGAAGGUCACGGAUGCUGGACGCAACAGAAUCUCAACAGGGACCCGAGAGAGAGAGGCUCCUCUCUCCCUACACUAAUAUCCCACGAUCCCUGUGUCACUUUCCAGAACACACUGUCAGUUCCAUGGACCUAGGAUUAUAAAAUCCUGUAAGAUUUAUACAGAAAAUAUAAAAAUCUGGGGAGGGGGAACUGUGAAACAAUGUGAAAAAAACUAUUUGUCAAAUGGACAGUGGGGAAUAACUUCUCCUCCCGCACCUCCUCCAAGCUUCUAACAACACUCAUGGCACACAAUACAGAGGAGACUGCCAUAAAAAUGACUUAAAAUGUGCCCUUUUGAGGUAAAGUAACUAUGGGACAAGUGACUAUAAAAAUGACACAGCUGGGGAGAUCCAAAUCUAUUCCUGCUCAGCAAGUUUCCAGAUUAAAAUGUGUCUGCUUACCUAGUCAA